rnacentral:rRNA from 1 species
GAUGAACGCUGGCGGCGUGCCUAAUACAUGCAAGUCGAGCGAACAGACGAGGAGCUUGCUCCUCUGACGUUAGCGGCGGACGGGUGAGUAACACGUGGAUAACCUACCUAUAAGACUGGGAUAACUUCGGGAAACCGGAGCUAAUACCGGAUAAUAUAUUGAACCGCAUGGUUCAAUAGUGAAAGACGGUUUUGCUGUCACUUAUAGAUGGAUCCGCGCCGCAUUAGCUAGUUGGUAAGGUAACGGCUUACCAAGGCGACGAUGCGUAGCCGACCUGAGAGGGUAAUCGGCCACACUGAAACGGGGACACGGUCCAGACUCCUACGGAGGGCAGCGGUGGGAAAUCUUCCGCAAUGGGCGAAGGCUUAACGAGGCAACGCGGCGUGGGUGAUAAGGGUCUUCGGUUCGUAAAACUCUGUUAUUGGGAAGAAACAAAGGUGUAGGUAACUAUGCACGUCUGAAGGGUACCUAAGCAGAAGGCACGGCUAACUACGUG